UCCCAUCUCCGGAGACGCGCCGUGCCCCCGCCUCCAACCUCUGGCGACGCGUCGUGCCCCCCGCCUCCAACCUCCGGCGACGCGCCGCCCCCCGCCUCCCAGCGAUGCGCCGCGCCCCCGCCUCCCACCUCUGGCCGUCCCACCACCAUCCCGGCGACCCGCCGUCCCACCACCAUCGCCCCGUUCCCUCUGCUACCACCACGCCACUGGUUCCCCUCACCUCUGCCACCACCAACUUCUCUUCCCACCACCACCACACCGACGCUCUGCCCACCCGCUGGCGGCCGCCCCCAUAGCGCGUCGUCCUGCUCCUCGUCGUGUGUCCGACACCUCCGCCCCACCACAGUCGCCAACCUCACGCACCGGCCUGCAUCCCCUCCCCACUCCUCGACGUCAAGUUCAGGUUAGAUUUCUAUAGCAUAAGGCUGGAUAAUUGUCCAGAGGCGCUUGAUGAUUGAAUUUAAAAGAUUCCAACGCUGUGCUGAUUGUGUGCAAAUAAUUAGAUGGGCAAGAGAAGUUUUGUAAACUUGAAUGCUUCAGUCCUACUUGUGUUAGUAAUGCUGCAGGUUAACAAAUGUACUGAUGCAUCUAAUUUAUUUUUGUUAUGUAAUAGGUGUGUGAGUUGGAGAAGAGUGUUCGUGCAGGGAGGAAGGUUGAGGAGAAAGAAUUUGUUGUCUUGACAGAGCUGCUUAUGGUGCAGCCGCUGAAACUCGAUGGCAUAGAGGCAGAGGGAAAAGCAAGGGCACAAAGGAAGGCAGAGGUACAUUCCCUCGCUGUUACUUUCCAAACCUUAUUAGUUUGGCAACGCAGUUUUUGCAAAACCAUAGUAUUACAAAACCUCAAUAUUUUAAUGUGUGGGCAAAUUCUUUAGUUUCUAAAAAGCUAGUUUUUUCUCAGUUUUGGUAAAACUGUGGAGGCGUUUGGCAAAUGGCAGUUUUAUUAAGAUUCUCUGAUUUUGAACGAUGUUGAAUAGGGAGAAUUCAUGUAUUACUGCCAUGUAAGUUCAAAAAAUAACCUGUAACAAGUACAAAAAUGAAAGGUGGGCAAAACAAAAAGUGAGCUUGGAAGUAGGAAGUUCGAUGCAUCGGCUACUGCUCCUUUUGUGCUUCUGGUUUACUCCAAGCAAUUUAUUUUUUUGCAUUAGAUGCUAAACAAAAAUGAGAAGUUUUUAAUUCCACAAGUAUGAACUUUGUGAAUGUGCACUUCUUAAAACAGAAGUGUACAUGCCAGUUCAAUUUGUGUGCAAGAAAGAAAAAAUGGUUUGAUUUAAAAACAUUGAUCAGUACAGAGUAAAAACAAUGAUCAGUUCUAAAUAAAAGAAAUGAUUCGUUUGUGAGUUUGUCAGUUCGCCGAUGGGAUCCGCAGGUCAGCCCCUCAUCUUCCACAAAUUACUCUUCAGUCUUCUGUGAGUAUUAAUUCAACUGCUGACUGAAAUGUGUAGCUUGGACUGAAGUUUUAAAGACCUGAUUUACUACAUACCUGCCGCAGCUCCCAGGCUGUUCACAGCCGCCACCCUAGUCCGUUCAUCACUGCCAACUGAGGCCGUUCAAUGACGCAAAUGAGUACAUCUACUGACAAUCGUGGAAGAAUGACUGAGGGGACCAAGCGCUAGUAGAAUACUACAGGGAAGCAGGGACAUUCAAUGCUACUGGAUUGUGCACCUGGUAGUCCAAACUUACACCAGAUGACCGGUGACCAACUUCCCUGCCUCUACAAGCUCCUCGAGGAUGACUUGGUGGUAGCUGGGAUCCCCUAAAGCGGCCAAAUCCUGGUGCACCCAGCCGCCGCUCGUGAUCCCCUCUCCUUCAGCUCCACUUCGCGGCACUGUCAGUCCACAGGAGUAGGGGCAGGUGCCCAUCAACAAAAAGGAACAAACGGUAUAUGCUUGGAAACUUAAAAUUCUGUACACAUUUGGGAAACAUAUGUUAUAGCUUCUUUCAAAGUUCAAAACAGAUGGUACAGGAAGUACAUGUAUUCAUGUGGGUGCUUGAAAGUUCUGUACAGGAAUAGGCCGAUGAUUUUUGUGCUAUGAAUAAUAUGAUUUAUGUA